rnacentral:lncRNA from 1 species
CAGUUUCCUCUUCCUUAUCAUCAUUCUUGCCCAACCCAAAAGUGCCUUUCACAGCAUCUGCAGCACCUUGUGCCAUGUGCUUCAUCUGCUCUCCAGUCUGCUGCAUGAUCCCUGAGGCUUUCUCUUUGCCGUACUGGGCGGUCUCUUUGGUCUUCUGGGCUGCCUCUUCUGCUUUCUGCUGGGCCGUCUCCUUGGUCUCCCAGGCCUUCUCUUUUGCUUGCUCCGCCUUCUCGGCGGUCUUGUCUUUCACCUGGUUCAUAGGGGCCUGUUUUCUGCCCUUGGCUGACUGGGCUGUCUCGUAUGUCUUGUCCCUUGUUGCUUGGGUUGUGUCAUAGGCCUUGUUCCGUUCUUCUUGUGCCUUGUUCCCCACUGUGCCCAUCACCUGGUUAGUUUUCUCCUAAAAGAUCAAGACAAAACUCGUUUAGGUUAGAUUAAAACAUUAAUUUGCAACAAUAAAAUAAAUAACUUCAACCACAAAUACAUGCAGAGCUAAACCACCAGAUACUACAAUUAAAAUUGUAAGUAUGAUAAAUACAAUAUGUAUACUAUAAACCCUUCCAUUAGGUCAUUGUAGAUAUAUAUUCUAAUUGCCCCUAAAAAAAUUAUUCUAUCAGAUAAUUGAGGUAAGAUGUAUCACACCGUCAAUCUAAAUUAGUUAAAAAAAAUUCAGGAUUAGAUUAAUAGCAUACCAUAACGCAAAAAACUUAAUAGAUUUGUGAAUAUUAUGUAUUAAGCAUAUGGACAUGCAUCACUAAUACCAGUUGCAAAACCAUACAAAAAAUGCACUAAUAUAUUUUAUUAAUCUACAAAUUAACUAUUUAAAUUAAAUCUCAAAAUUAUACACAUAAGUUAUCU